rnacentral:rRNA from 1 species
CUUACCUGGGUUUGACAUCCCCGGACAACCCUAGAAAUAGGGCUUCAGUAGCAAUACUGCCGGGUGACAGGUGCUGCAUGGCUGUCGUCAGCUCGUGUGGUGCACAUGUUGGGUUAAGUCCCGCAACGAGCGCAACCCUUAUCUUUAGUUGCCAGCAUUCAGUUGGGCUCUCUAGAGAGACUGCCGUGGUUAACACGGAGGAAGGUGGGGAUGACGUCAAGUCCUCAUGGCCUUUAUAUCCAGGGCGACACACGUGAUACAAUGGACGGUACAGAGGGAAGCCAACCCGCGAGGGGGAGCUAAUCUCAAAAAGCCGUUCUCAGUUCGGAUUGGAGUCUGCAACUCGACUCCAUGAAGUUGGAAUCGCUAGUAAUCGCGGAUCAGCACGCCGCGGUGAAUACGUUCCCGGGUCUUGUACACACCGAAU